CCUACGGGAGGCUGCAGUGGGGAAUAUUGCACAAUGGGCGCAGGCCUGAUGCAGCCAUGCCGCGUGUGUGAAGAAGGCCUUCGGGUUGUAAAGCACUUUCAGCGGGGAGGAAGGCGGUGAGGUUAAUAACCUCAUCGAUUGACGUUACCCGCAGAAGAAGCACCGGCUAACUCCGUGCCAGCAGCCGCGGUAAUACGGAGGGUGCAAGCGUUAAUCGGAAUUACUGGGCGUAAAGCGCACGCAGGCGGUCUGUCAAGUCGGAUGUGAAAUCCCCGGGCUCAACCUGGGAACUGCAUUCGAAACUGGCAGGCUAGAGUCUUGUAGAGGGGGGUAGAAUUCCAGGUGUAGCGGUGAAAUGCGUAGAGAUCUGGAGGAAUACCGGUGGCGAAGGCGGCCCCCUGGACAAAGACUGACGCUCAGGUGCGAAAGCGUGGGGAGCAAACAGGAUUAGAUACCCUUGUAGUC
rnacentral:rRNA from 1 species